GCAGACGGGUGAGUAACAUGUAGGUAUCUGCCCUUUGGCCUGGAAUAACACGAGGAAACUUGUGCUAAUACCGGAUAAGUCUUUACGGAGAAAGCUUUAUGCACCAUUGGAUGAGCCUGCACUUGAUUAGUUUGUUGGUGGGGUAAUGGCCUACCAAGACUUUGAUCAAUAGCUGAUUUGAGAGGAUGAUCAGCCACAUUGGGACUGAGACACGGCCCAAACUCCUACGGGAGGCAGCAGUGGGGAAUCUUGCACAAUGGAGGAAACUCUGAUGCAGCGAUGCCGCGUGAGUGAAGAAGGCCCUUGGGUUGUAAAGCUCUUUCGUCGGGGAAGAAAAUGACUGUACCCGAAUAAGAAGGUCCGGCUAACUUCGUGCCAGCAGCCGCGGUAAUACGAAGGGACCUAGCGUAGUUCGGAAUUACUGGGCUUAAAGAGUUCGUAGGUGGUUGAAAAAGUUGGUGGUGAAAUCCCAGAGCUUAACUCUGGAACUGCCAUCAAAACUUUUCAGCUAGAGUAUGAUAGAGGAAAGCAGAAUUUCUAGUGUAGAGGUGAAAUUCGUAGAUAUUAGAAAGAAUACCAAUUGCGAAGGCAGCUUUCUGGAUCAUUACUGACACUGAGGAACGAAAGCAUGGGUAGCGAAGAGGAUUAGAUACCCUCGUAGUCCAUGCCGUAAACGAUGUGUGUUAGACGUUGGAAAUUUAUUUUCAGUGUCGCAGCGAAAGCGAUAAACACACCGCCUGGGGAGUACGACCGCAAGGUUAAAACUCAAAUGAAUUGACGGAGACCCGCACAAGUAGUGGAGCAU
rnacentral:rRNA from 1 species